GAUGAACGCUAGCGACAGGCUUAACACAUGCAAGUCGAGGGGCAGCGGGGAGUAGCAAUACUCUGCCGGCGACCGGCGCACGGGUGAGUAACGCGUAUGCAACUUACCUAUCAGAGGAGAAUAGCUCAUCGAAAGAUGAAUUAAUGCUCCAUAAAACAGGGGUCCCGCAUGGGAAUAUUUGUUAAAGAUUUAUCGACUGAUAGAUAGGCAUGCGUUCCAUUAGAUAGUAGGCGGGGUAACGGCCCACCUAGUCUUCGAUGGAUAGGGGUUCUGAGAGGAAGGUCCCCCACAUUGGAACUGAGACACGGUCCAA
rnacentral:rRNA from 1 species